rnacentral:lncRNA from 1 species
AUUUAUAAUUCACUGAUUGGCUUAAGAUUCUGCACAUCCAGGAAUCUUUGCUGUUUUAUUCCUGUGUGUUGUAAUAAUUUUCACUCUGCAUUCUGAUGGGAGAGACAAUUAUCCUAUGUGUUUACACUUGUUGAUAUGUUUCUCUUCAGGUGGUCUCAAGUCAUUUCUAUUCCUUUGGAUAUCCAGUAUAAUGCUUAGUGCUUGUGGGGUGCCCAAUAAAUGUCAGCUGGGUAAUUAAAAGCUGCUUGUAUGUUAUGCCAUCGAUUUCCUUUGCCCCCAAAUUAUGUAAACUGCUUCUUCUCCAAAUGAUAUAUUGUUUGAUUCAGACCAAGAUAUUUGUAAGUAGCAAAUUUUAGAUAUGUUCAUUCAAUUCUGUCUUAAUAUACAAUGAAUUUAGGACACUUCUUAGGGCGAAAAUUGAGAGAUGCUAAUCAGCCAGGUCUCAAAUAGCUGGAGAAAGGAAUCUUAGGCCUGUAACUAUGGUUUGUUAUUUGGGACCCAUUUAGAAAAGAAUUUUCUUUUUUUAGUCAUCAGAGGAGCCAUUAGAGUCUUCCUCAAGACUGAAAACGUAAGUGAGAGUGCAUCUUGAAGUGCUGCAACAGAGGAUGAGGAAAAGAUUAGCAUGUGAAGUUCUACCUACCAAAUAUUCAUAAACUGAACUGGAUCCCAUAAUUAAGAUAAGCCCUCCAAGAGAAGGGAUCGAGAAGAAGCAACAUUGGUUGAAAUAUGUGCAAGGAUACAUACAGAAAGUCCUGCUUCCUGUGUCAGGUGCAGGAGCCACUGCCUAACACCCAGAAAACCAAAAGAUAUUUGCCAAUGAACAGUAACUUGGAUGCUCAAAGGGUGAGUUGCAUUUAGAAAUGAUAUAUGUUUUUAUUAACUAUUCAGUAAAUUUUAUAGUCAG